GCUUGUUACAUGAGAGUAUUCCAGAACCCACCAGGGGCAGCCGGAGCCCCUCCACUGCCUGGGCUGUACACGUUAGAGCGUGCCCUCACCUUUCCUGAGCUGCUGAUGUGCUCAGAUGAGUCACCCCACCACCAGAAGAGCUUGCUCACGUGAACCUCAGCAGUGCCCACACUGUAAGAGAUGUUAUUUUAUGCAAUAUUCUGACAAGUGGGCCUUGACAGUGUAGAGAAGGAGCUGCUUCCGUGGUAUUUGACUGAUUUGCAGUAAAGAGCUCAUCUUUCUAAUCAAAAUCUGGCUUCUGAUUCUUACUCCUGCGGCUGCUGGGGAGACACCAGCCAUCCCACCCGCUCCCCUCAAUCCUAGGGACUGGCAUUUCAGGGUUGUGGAGCACACUUGCCAGCCAAAGCAGCAGGGGACAAGAGCUCAGGAAUCUGGGUGUGGGAUUCAGAGAGGGUAAGCAAGAAGGGUAAGCCCUGGCUCCUGGAUUAAAGGCUCAAGAGACCUGUCUGCUGCUGGCUUUCACCAGAGGUUCCAGGAGAAGCCCCACACUGCCCGUGUAAGAACAGAAGAAGGAAGGAGACUAAUUCCUAGGGAAAGCAGGUGGUGGGAAGACGGGACAGAAAAAGACAACACCCAGGGGUACAUUUCCUGAACUCGAGGACCUUCAGCCAGUGAGUGGGGCUGCUCCUUGGCCAUCGAUGAGCCCGAUUCUCCAGAGACCUAGAGGAAGAAAGGGGAACUGGAUUUGGAGGUUGGGGGAGGCAGGCCCAGAAAAGCGGCCUGACGCUUGAGUUGACACUGCCCAGGGCCUCAGGCUCAGUUUUGCACCUUCAGCACAGGCCUCGGGGGCAGUUUCCCUUUCCUCCCCUCUGUCUGGAGGGGGCGGGAAAACUGGAGCUCUCAUCCCCAGAAAGUGCCUCCUAUCAUGAAAGUAACAACAAAUAAUAAAGGUCAUGCGCACCAUC